UAGGGAAUCUUCGGCAAUGGGCGAAAGCCUGACCGAGCAACGCCGCGUGACUGAUGAAGGCCUUCGGGUUGUAAAAUUCUGUUAUAAGGGAAGAAUGGCUCUAGUAGGAAAUGGCUAGAGUGUGACGGUACCUUAUGAGAAAGCCACGGCUAACUACGUGCCAGCAGCCGCGGUAAUACGUAGGUGGCGAGCGUUAUCCGGAAUUAUUGGGCGUAAAGAGCGCGCAGGUGGUUGAUUAAGUCUGAUGUGAAAGCCCACGGCUUAACCGUGGAGGGUCAUUGGAAACUGGUCAACUUGAGUGCAGAAGAGGGAAGUGUAAUUCCAUGUGUAGCGGUGAAAUGCGUAGAGAGUAGGAGGAACACCAGUAGCGAAGGCGGCUUUCUGGACUGUAACUGACACUGAGGCACGAAAGCGUGGGGAGCAAACA
rnacentral:rRNA from 1 species